UGCAUCAUCUCCAAUAUAAAAAUAUCGAUAACGAUCAUCCAAAUACUCUAUUCUCAAUCAUGAAUGAUCAAAAAACUAGACCUCAGGCUCAAAUCUUAGCAAUCGUUAGAAUAAAGUCUGCCACUCUGGAAUGGUAAGCUUGGGAUCAACUCCAGUAACUGAAUCGCUAUCAACUGAUAGUCCAGUAAGGAUGCUAAUAUCCUGUAAUGUGAUGAUCGCCUCACCG
rnacentral:lncRNA from 1 species